GUUCUUGCAAAGCACACGUCAGAGAUGAUCGCAAACUUGAUCGACACAAGUGGUUUCCGGCCCUCCUCACCGCCCCACUCCUACGAAGGCAGGAGAUAGAAGCAGAUUAUAUCGGAAUGAUGCUACUCGCCGCUGCUAGUUACGAUCCACAUGAAGCCCCUCGAGCCCUUGAGAAGGUCGGAAAGAUGGAAAGAAAAUCAACAUUGGAGAAACUGCUCUCUUCCCUCUCUUAUCCAUCCUGCAAGAAAAGGUCGCGGCUGCUAUCGCAACCUAGGGUCAUGAGGAAGGCGAUGACAUUAUACACACAAGUGAAAGGAAAGAACGAUUGUCGAACCUGCUUCAUGCCUUCGACUUACCGAUGACUCCCAGGAGUGGCAUCGCCGCCCAUGCCCUAGGUAACUUUGAUAGAAAAGAUGUGAGUAGUGGUGUUUCAA